rnacentral:rRNA from 1 species
UACGAGGGGGGCGAGCGUUGUUCGGAAUUAUUGGGCGUAAAGGGUGCGUAGGCGGUUCCGCAAGUCCUGUGUGAAAUCUUCGGGCUCAACUCGAAGUCUGCACGGGAAACUGCGGGGCUUGAGUGUGGGAGAGGUGAGUGGGAUUCCCGGUGUAGCGGUGAAAUGCGUAGAUAUCGGGAGGAACACCUGUGGCGAAAGCGGCUCACUGGACCUAACUGACGCUGAUGCACGAAAGCUGGGGGAGCAACAGG